rnacentral:rRNA from 1 species
AUCGAACGCUGGCGGCAGGCCUAACACAUGCAAGUCGAACGAGUGGCGGUCGGGUGCGCAACAUUUAGGAACCCGCCUAGUAGCGGGCGAUAGCCCGGGGAAACCCGAAUUAAUACCGCAUAUUAUUAGAUGAUCCUAAAUCAGAUUAGCUAGUUGGUGGGGGAAAGGCUCACCAAGGCGACGAUCUGUAACUGGUCUGAGAGGAUGAUCAGUCACACCGGAACUGAGACACGGUCCGGACUCCUACGGGAGGCAGCAGUGGGGAAUAUUGGACAAUGGGGGCAACCUGAUCCAGCCAUGCCGCGUGUGUGAAGAAGGCCUUGUGGUUGUAAAGCACUUUAAGCAGGGAGGCGUUACCUACAGAGUAAGCACCGGCUAACUCUGUGCCAGCAGCCGCGGUAAUAC